CAGCAGUAGCCGCGUAAUACGAAGGGUGCAAGCGUUACUCGGAAUUACUGGGCGUAAAGCGUGCGUAGGUGGUGGUUUAAGUCCGUUGUGAAAGCCCUGGGCUCAACCUGGGAAUUGCAGUGGAUACUGGGUCACUAGAGUGUGGUAGAGGAUAGUGGAAUUUCCGGUGUAGCAGUGAAAUGCGUAGAGAUCGGAAGGAACAUCUGUGGCGAAGGCGACUAUCUGGGCCAACACUGACACUGAGGCACGAAAGCGUGGGGAGCAAACAGGAUUAGAUACCCCUGUAGUCCCUGUCUCUUAUACA
rnacentral:rRNA from 1 species